UACGGGGGGGGCAAGCGUUGUUCGGAAUUACUGGGCGUAAAGGGCGCGUAGGCGGUUCGCUAAGUUGGAUGUGAAAACUCUGGGCUCAACCCAGAGCCUGCAUCCAAAACUGGCGGGCUAGAGUUCUGGAGGGGGUAGCGGAAUUCCUGGUGUAGCGGUGAAAUGCUUAGAUAUGACAUAGAACACCAAUUGCGUAGGCAGCUUACUACACGAUCAUUGACGCUGAGGCACGAAAGCGUGGGGAGCAAACAGG
rnacentral:rRNA from 1 species